rnacentral:lncRNA from 1 species
GUUUUCUCAUCCAUAUAACCGGAGGAGAUGGAAACUCACUGCAUAGUACCUGUCCAGUGCUAGGAGCCAUCCUCCGGGACUCAUUUACAGUUUUUCAUUUAAUUAUCGCCACAAGCCCGUGGAGCAGACAGCAUCCCUAUUUGAAAGAAGAGAAAACUAAUGUGGGCAAAGUUAAUUUGCCAAGGAUUACCCAGCUGGCAAGGGGCAGAGUUUCUUGACCUCCUGCCCUUCCUUGUUGAGUUACCAUAAAAAUCAAAUAAUUUAGUAUUGACUGUGAGGCUGUUUGGAAUGGUAGCAAGCACUCUGUAAACAUAAGGAGUGUUAUUAAAAGACCCAGGCUCCCCGUCCACUCCCUUUCUUUCUCCUUUUCUGUCACUUCCCUAACGUAUAAGCAGCUGCCUUUGGUCCAGACCUAUCAAAGAAAUGUCAUGAAACCAUUUUUCAAAAUGUCAAAUGCCCAUGUACUUCCCCCCAAAGUAAUUAAGCCCUUUUAUUUUUUCCAAGUCAUGAUGCAGAAUCCCGGGAGCUUCCAGAACACGCCCUUUCUCCUCCAUCCUGAACUAAUGGAAAUCAGGCCUGAAGGUUCAAGACAUGAGCCCCUGGCUUCUGCUCCAAAUGCCGUGUCUGCUGC